rnacentral:rRNA from 1 species
AAUAGAUACCCAGGUAGUCCACGCCGUAAACGAUGUCGACUUGGAGGUUGUUCCCUUGAGGAGUGGCUUCCGGAGCUAACGCGUUAAGUCGACCGCCUGGGGAGUACGGCCGCAAGGUUAAAACUCAAAUGAAUUGACGGGGGCCCGCACAAGCGGUGGAGCAUGUGGUUUAAUUCGAUGCAACGCGAAGAACCUUACCUACUCUUGACAUCCAGAGAACUUAGCAGAGAUGCUUUGGUGCCUUCGGGAACUCUGAGACAGGUGCUGCAUGGCUGUCGUCAGCUCGUGUUGUGAAAUGUUGGGUUAAGUCCCGCAACGAGCGCAACCCUUAUCCUUUGUUGCCAGCGGUUAGGCCGGGAACUCAAAGGAGACUGCCAGUGAUAAACUGGAGGAAGGUGGGGAUGACGUCAAGUCAUCAUGGCCCUUACGAGUAGGGCUACACACGUGCUACAAUGGCGCAUACAAAGAGAAGCGACCUCGCGAGAGCAAGCGGACCUCAUAAAGUGCGUCGUAGUCCGGA